rnacentral:rRNA from 1 species
GAGGAAAAGAAACCAACAGGGAUUGCCUUAGUAGCGGCGAGUGAAGCGGCAAAAGCUCAAAUUUGAAAUCUGGCACUUUCAGUGUCCGAGUUGUAAUUUGAAGAAGGUAUCUUUGGGUCUGGCUCUUGUCUAUGUUUCUUGGAACAGAACGUCACAGAGGGUGAGAAUCCCGUGCGAUGAGAUGUCCCAGACCUAUGUAAAGUUCCUUCGAAGAGUCGAGUUGUUUGGGAAUGCAGCUCUAAGUGGGUGGUAAAUUCCAUCUAAAGCUAAAUAUUGGCGAGAGACCGAUAGCGAACAAGUACAGUGAUGGAAAGAUGAAAAGAACUUUGAAAAGAGAGUGAAAAAGUACGUGAAAUUGUUGAAAGGGAAGGGCUUGAGAUCAGACUUGGUAUUUUGUAUGUUACUCUCUCGGGGGUGGCCUCUACAGUUUACCGGGCCAGCAUCAGUUUGAGCGGUAGGAUAAGUGCAAAGAAAUGUGGCACUGCUUCGGUAGUGUGUUAUAGUCUUUGUCGAUACUGCCAGCUUAGACUGAGGACUGCGGCUUCGGCCUAGGAUGUUGGCAUAAUGAUCUUAAGUCGCCCG